rnacentral:rRNA from 1 species
CACGUAGUUAGCCGGGGCUUCUUGUCCAGGUACUGUCAUUUUCUUCUCUGCUGACAGGGCUUUACGCACCGGAGUGCUUCUUCACCCACGCGGCAUUGCUGCAUCAGGGUUCCCCCCAUUGUGCAAUAUUCCCCACUGCUGCCUCCCGCAGGAGUCUGGGCCGUGUCUCAGUCCCAAUGUGGCCGUCCACUCUCUCAAGCCGGCUACUGAUCGUUGUCUUGGUAGGCCGUUACCCUGCCAACUAACUAAUCAGACGCGGGCCCAUCCUGUACCACCGUUGGUUUCCCUGCUGUGCCAUGCGGCACAGCAGGCUUAUGCGGUAUUAGCAGCCAUUUCUGGCUUGUUCGUCCCCCGGUACGAGGGCAGGUUCGCCCCACGCGUUACUCCACCCGUCCGCCUACGUAGGUUUAUAUUAUCCUUCCCUCCGGAGUACGUUCCGUCAUACUAAACCCCGUUCGACUUG